rnacentral:rRNA from 1 species
AGAGUUUGAUCCUGGCUCAGAACGAACGCUGGCGGCAGGCCUAACACAUGCAAGUCGAGCGAAACCUUCGGGUUUAGCGGCGGACGGGUGAGUAACGCGUGGGAACGUGCCCUUCUCUGCGGAAUAGCCACUGGAAACGGUGAGUAAUACCGCAUACGCCCUUCGGGGGAAAGAUUUAUCGGGGAAGGAUCGGCCCGCGUCUGAUUAGGUAGUUGGUGGGGUAAUGGCCUACCAAGCCUACGAUCAGUAGCUGGUUUUAGAGGAUGAUCAGCCACACUGGGACUGAGACACGGCCCAGACUCCUACGGGAGGCAGCAGUGGGGAAUCUUAGACAAUGGGCGCAAGCCUGAUCUAGCCACGCCGCGUGAGUGGUGAAGGCCCUAGGGUCGUAAAGCUCUUUCGCCAGGGAUGAUAAUGACAGUACCUGGUAAAGAAACCCCGGCUAACUCCGUGCCAGCAGCCGCGGUAAUACGGAGGGGGUUAGCGUUGUUCGGAAUUACUGGGCGUAAAGCGCGCGUAGGCGGACCAGAAAGUUGGGGGUGAAAUCCCGGGGCUCAACCCCGGAACGGCCUCCAAAACUCCUGGUCUUGAGUUCGAGAGAGGUGAGUGGAAUUCCGAGUGUAGAGGUGAAAUUCGUAGAUAUUCGGAGGAACACCAGUGGCGAAGGCGGCUCACUGGCUCGAUACUGACGCUGAGGUGCGAAAGUGUGGGGAGCAAACAGGAUUAGAUACCCUGGUAGUCCACACCGUAAACGAUGAAUGCCAGUCGUCGGAUAGUAUACUAUUCGGUGACACACCUAACGGAUUAAGCAUUCCGCCUGGGGAGUACGGUCGCAAGAUUAAAACUCAAAGGAAUUGACGG